rnacentral:rRNA from 1 species
CCUACGGGAGGCAGCAGUGGGGAAUAUUGGACAAUGGGCGAAAGCCUGAUCCAGCAAUGCCGCGUGAGUGAUGAAGGCCUUAGGGUUGUAAAGCUCUUUUACCAGGGAUGAUAAUGACAGUACCUGGAGAAUAAGCUCCGGCUAACUCCGUGCCAGCAGCCGCGGUAAUACGGAGGGAGCUAGCGUUAUUCGGAAUUACUGGGCGUAAAGCGUACGUAGGCGGUUAUUCAAGUCAGAGGUGAAAGCCCGGGGCUCAACCCCGGAACUGCCUUUGAAACUAGAUAACUAGAGUCUUGGAGAGGUUAGUGGAAUUCCGAGUGUAGAGGUGAAAUUCGUAGAUAUUCGGAAGAACACCAGUGGCGAAGGCGACUAACUGGACAAGUACUGACGCUGAGGUACGAAAGCGUGGGGAGCAAACAGGAUUAGAUACCCUGGUAGUCCACGCCGUAAACGAUGAUAACUAGCUGUCCGGGCACUUGGUGCCUGGGUGGCGCAGCUAACGCAUUAAGUUAUCCGCCUGGGAGUACGGUCGCAAGAUUAAAACCUANAAAGAUGACGGCUGAGAGNGCGAGACGACGACGAGGAGAGG